AGCUAGUGUGGCAUAGUGGUUUUAGCACUGCAGAUUAUGACUCUGGAGAACAGGGUUCAAGUCCCAGAUCAGCCA